rnacentral:sRNA from 1 species
GCUGGGUGUGGUAGCGAACACCUGUAUUUCCAGCAACUCAGGGGGCUGAGGCAGGAGGAUCAUGAGUUCAAAGCCAGUCUCAGCAAUUUAGUGAGGCCCUAAGCAACUCAGCAAGACCCUGUCUCUA